AGGCUUCAUGAUUAGUCUAACAACAUACAGCUAGAGCUGCGACUCGCACUAAGGGCUGAGGUUUGUGAAAGGAUGAAAGGAACUGGAAAAGAAGUCAGCCGGGAAGCUAGGUAUCAGAGCAAACAUAAUGAAAUAGACUUUUGUUGCCUUUAGUGUUUGAAUAAUGCUUAUCCAAAGUUUUCAAGUUGAUUUAGAUAACCUAGCAAUCAGCUAAAUCAGAUAUUUGAGGGCAGUUUUUAGCUUUUUCUUUUUCAAACCCAACCACAAAAUAAACUAACUCUUGC
rnacentral:lncRNA from 1 species